rnacentral:rRNA from 1 species
GGGAUAACGUUCGGAAACGGACGCUAAUACCGCAUACGUCCUACGGGAGAAAGCAGGGGACCUUCGGGCCUUGCGCUAUCAGAUGAGCCUAGGUCGGAUUAGCUAGUUGGUGGGGUAAUGGCUCACCAAGGCGACGAUCCGUAACUGGUCUGAGAGGAUGAUCAGUCACACUGGAACUGAGACACGGUCCAGACUCCUACGGGAGGCAGCAGUGGGGAAUAUUGGACAAUGGGCGAAAGCCUGAUCCAGCCAUGCCGCGUGUGUGAAGAAGGUCUUCGGAUUGUAAAGCACUUUAAGUUGGGAGGAAGGGCAGUAAAUUAAUACUUUGCUGUUUUGACGACCGACAGAAUAAGCACCGGCUAACUCUGUGCCAGCAGCCGCGGUAAUACGAAUCACUAGUGAAUUCGCGGCCGCCUGCAGGUCGACCAUAUGGGAGAGCUCCCCA